UAGAGUUUGAUCCUGGCUCAGGAUGAACGCUGGCGGUCUGCUUAACACAUGCAAGUCGAACGCAACCUUCGGGUUGAGUGGCGGACGGGUGAGUAACGCGUGAGAAUCUGCCUUGGGGUCGGGGACAACCACUGGAAACGGUGGCUAAUACCGGAUAAGCCUUUGGGUAAAAAAUUUAUUGCCCCAAGAGGAGCUCGCGUCUGAUUAGCUAGUUGGUGAGGUAAAAGCUCACCAAGGCAGCGAUCAGUAGCUGGUCUGAGAGGACGAUCAGCCACACUGGGACUGAGACACGGCCCAGACUCCUACGGGAGGCAGCAGUGGGGAAUUUUCCGCAAUGGGCGAAAGCCUGACGGAGCAAGACCGCGUGAGGGAGGAAGGCUCUUGGGUUGUAAACCUCUUUUCUCAGGGAAGAAGCUCUGACGGUACCUGAGGAAUCAGCCUCGGCUAACUCCGUGCCAGCAGCCGCGGUAAUACGGAGGAGGCAAGCGUUAUCCGGAAUUAUUGGGCGUAAAGCGUCCGCAGGUGGCGAUUCAAGUCUGCUGUCAAAGCACGGGGCUUAACUCCGUUAAGGCAGUGGAAACUGAAUAGCUAGAGUGCCGUAGGGGUAGAGGGAAUUCCCGGUGUAGCGGUGAAAUGCGUAGAGAUCGGGAAGAACAUCGGUGGCGAAAGCGCUCUACUGGACGGCAACUGACACUCAGGGACGAAAGCUAGGGGAGCGAAUGGGAUUAGAUACCCCAGUAGUCCUAGCUGUAAACGAUGGAUACUAGGUGUAGCUUGUAUCGACCCGAGCUGUGCCGAAGCUAACGCGUUAAGUAUCCCGCCUGGGGAGUACGCACGCGAGUGUGAAACUCAAGGGAAUUGA
rnacentral:rRNA from 1 species